UACGUAGGGUGCAAGCGUUGUCCGGAAUUAUUGGGCGUAAAGAGCUUGUAGGCUGUUUGUCGCGUCUGCUGUGAAAUUUCGGGGCUCAACCCCGAACUUGCAGUGGGUACGGGCAGACUAGAGUGUGGUAGGGGAGACUGGAAUUCCUGGUGUAGCGGUGAAAUGCGCAGAUAUCAGGAGGAACACCGAUGGCGAAGGCAGGUCUCUGGGCCAUAACUGACGCUGAGAAGCGAAAGCAUGGGGAGCGAACAGG
rnacentral:rRNA from 1 species